GAUGAACGCUGGCGGCGUGCUUAACACAUGCAAGUCGAACGAAGCAUUUGCGACAGAUUUUUUCGGAAUGAAGUUGCUUAUGACUGAGUGGCGGACGGGUGAGUAACGCGUGGGUAACCUGCCUUGUACUGGGGGAUAGCAGCUGGAAACGGCUGGUAAUACCGCAUAAGCGCACAAUGUUGCAUGACAUGGUGUGAAAAACUCCGGUGGUAUAAGAUGGACCCGCGUCUGAUUAGCUAGUUGGUGAGAUAACAGCCCACCAAGGCGACGAUCAGUAGCCGACCUGAGAGGGGGACCGGCCACAUUGGGACUGAGACACGGCCCAGACUCCUACGGGAGGCAGCAGUGGGGAAUAUUGCACAAUGGAGGAAACUCUGAUGCAGCGACGCCGCGUGAGUGAAGAAGUAAUUCGUUAUGUAAAGCUCUAUCAGCAGGGAAGAUAGUGACGGUACCUGACGAAGAAGCUCCGGCUAAAUACGUG
rnacentral:rRNA from 1 species